AACAAUAGUAAAUCAUUGGCAUUUACUAUACUUGUUCACCAUGCAAUAUUUGAAAGAAAGACUAUGAGGUUGGACAAAUCCCUCACAUGCAUGUAAAUUAAUUACAUGUAAGUUAAUUAUGGUGAAUGGAGAAAAGGUGGCCGCAAGUUUGUUGUCCAAUCAUGGCUUUUGCUGCGGCUUCUUCAAUUCCGAUACUCCAUCGGCCUCAAAAUUUCGAUGCUACUUCGCAAAUUUUUCCGAUCGCCG
rnacentral:lncRNA from 1 species